rnacentral:rRNA from 1 species
UCCAGACUCCUACGGGAGGCAGCAGUGGGGAAUAUUGCACAAUGGGGGAAACCCUGAUGCAGCGACGCCGCGUGAGUGAAGAAGUAUUUCGGUAUGUAAAGCUCUAUCAGCAGGGAAGAAAAUGACGGUACCUGAUUAAGAAGCCCCGGCUAACUACGUGCCAGCAGCCGCGGUAAUACGUAGGGGGCAAGCGUUAUCCGGAUUUACUGGGUGUAAAGGGAGCGUAGACGGUGAGACAAGUCUGAAGUGAAAGCCCGGGGCUCAACCCCGGGACUGCUUUGGAAACUGCCUGACUGGAGUGCUGGAGAGGCAAGCGGAAUUCCUAGUGUAGCGGUGAAAUGCGUAGAUAUUAGGAAGAACACCAGUGGCGAAGGCGGCUUGCUGGACAGUAACUGACGUUGAGGCUCGAAAGCGUGGGGAGCAAACAGGAUUAGAUACCCCGGUAGAA